rnacentral:rRNA from 1 species
GGGGAAUCUUGCACAAUGGAGGAAACUCUGAUGCAGCGACGCCGCGUGAACGAUGAAGCCCUUCGGGGUGUAAAGUUCUUUCGACAGGGACGAUAAUGACGGUACCUGAAGAAGAAGCUGCGGCUAACUACGUGCCAGCAGCCGCGGUAAUACGUAGGCAGCGAGCGUUGUUCGGAAUUACUGGGCGUAAAGAGUGCGUAGGUGGUUGGCUAAGUUUGGUGUGAAAUCUCCCGGCUUAACUGGGAGGGUGCGCCGAAAACUGGCUGGCUAGAGUGUGGGAGAGGAACGUGGAAUUCCUGGUGUAACGGUGAAAUGCGUAGAUAUCAGGAGGAACACCUGAGGUGUAGACGGCGUUCUGGACCAUUACUGACACUGAGGCACGAAAGCGUGGGGAGCAAACA